rnacentral:rRNA from 1 species
AAUGAACGCUGGCGGCAUGCCUAACACAUGCAAGUCGAACGAAGGCUUCGGCCUUAGUGGCGCACGGGUGCGUAACGCGUGGGAAUCUGCCCCUUGGUUCGGAAUAACAGUUAGAAAUGACUGCUAAUACCGGAUGAUGACGUAAGUCCAAAGAUUGAUCGCCGAGGGAUGAGCCCGCGUAGGAUUAGCUAGUUGGUGUGGUAAGAGCGCACCAAGGCGACGAUCCUUAGCUGGUCUGAGAGGAUGGUCAGCCACACUGGGACUGAGACACGGCCCAGACUCCUACGGGAGGCAGCAAUGGGUAAUAUUGGACAAUGGGCGAAAGCCUGAUCCAGCAAUGCCGCGUGAGUGAUGAAGGCCUUAGGGUUGUAAAGCUCUUUUACCCGGGAUGAUAAUGACAGUACCGGGAGAAUAAGCUCCGGCUAACUCCGUG